CGAGGCAACAUGGUCCUUAAAGGUCUGCUGGCUGUCUACCAUGACACUAAGAUUCCUGGCAGAAGACAUUGGCACAGGUGUGAUAGAGUCGAGCUGCACGUUUAUCUGAGGAGGUAAGGAAGGAUUGGCUGGACAGACAAUAAGCUCAGACCAGGUCCAGUAGAGC